UUUAAGACUUGAGUUGAUCUCAAAGUUCUUCUCUGUUGAAAUAGUUUAUCUAUUUCUGAAUAGCAGAGUUCUAUCUAAACUAUCCACAUAAACAUUAAAUUAUUCAACACAAUCCAUCAUCAAGACAAUCCAACGCAUCACUCAGGUAUAAUCUUGUUCCUAAAAUUUAUUUAUCCGUCAUGUUGUCAAAUUUGGUAUCAGAGCAAUUAAUCCGUCAUCAUGUUAUUUUAAAUUUGGUAUCAGAGCUAAGUAUCGUUCUUAUUAUGAUUAUGAAUGUUAAAUCUUUCGUUCAUAUGAAUACAUGUUCAUCAUGCAUCAUGAAUAUUCAUCGUUACAAACAUUCAUAAUAACUAAAUAAAUAAAUUACCAUUUUGUUUCUAAAAGUUAUAAUCAUGGGGUUUUCAGGUUUAAAUAUUAACAAAUAAAAAAUCUUGAAGAUAAAAUAACAAGAAUAAUUUAUUAAAUAUGUCUCAAGAAAUAGAAAAUACACCAAUCAUUAUUAAUAACGAAGAAAAUGAAUCAGGAUACACCUUUGGUGCUCUAAUUAAUAAAAAUAAUAUUAAUAAAGAUGCUAUAAGAAAAUCAAAUUUUACACUAUCUGAAAAACAUAAUUUUAGAUAUAACUCAUUAAAAAAUUUCUUUUCUAGAAAAAAUAUUAUAUAUUAUGGAAAAAUUAUAGGAGAAGAACCAAUACGCAAUGCUUCAACCAUUAUAACAAACACAACUUGUUAAUAUGAAAACUUUGCACAUAUAGAAAUUUAUAAACCAACUCUAAUGAGUAGAAGAAAAACAAAUAUUAAUCCAAAUAGUACCUUUAUUACAACUAAAAUACAAGAAAAGGAAUUAGUCUCAUAUAUAGAUACAGGAGCUACUUUAUGUUUCGGAAGAAAAAAGAUAUUAAAAAAUUGGAAAAAAUUAGAAAAACCAUUAAAAAUUACAAUUGUUGAUAAAUCAAUUCACAAAAUUUGGUUCGUAGGAAGAGACAUAGAUAUAGUAAUUGAAAAAGCACUAUUUAAAACUCCAAUUAUAUAUCAACAAGAUUCGGGAAUACAUUUAGUAAUAGGAAAUAAUUUUCUUAAAUUAUAUCAACCAUUUAUACAAACAAAUGAUCAUAUAAGUCUCAAUCACCCAACAAAAGGUAUUAUAAAAACUGUAAUUAUCAAACAUUUUGAUCUUAUUAAAAUAAUCAAACAGGAAGUUGGCUUUCAACUACGCAUAUUACUAACAUUCGCUAAAGAAAUUGCUGAAAAACAACUCGAAGAAGUAUGUAGUGAAAACCCGUUAGAUCAAUUAAAAAAUAGAAAUAAUCAAGAAAUAAUAAUAUUAUUAAAAAAACCCUAAUGAUGAAGUUAAUAUUCCAAACAAAAUUCCAUAUAGUAUCAAAGAUGUUUCUGAAUUUAAACAAGAAUGUACUGAAUUACUAGAAAAGGGAAUCAUUCGACCUAGCACAAGUCCUCAUUCUGCACCUGCAUUUUAUGUAGAAAAUAAUAAUGAAAUAAAACGAGGAAAACGAAGAAUGGUAAUUAAUUACAAAAAAAUGAACGAUGCUACUAUUNCGAUGCAAAAUCUGGAAUUGGCAACUACGCUUACAUGAAAAUACGAAACCAGUAACCGCUUUUUCAUGUCCUCCUCAGAAGCACUAUGAAUGGAAUGUCCUUCCAUUCGGUUUAAAGUAGGCACCAACAAUAUAUCAACGAUUCAUGGAUGAAACCUUAAAUGGUUUAGAUCAUAUUUGUCUUGCAUAUAUUGAUGAUAUAUUUGUUUUUACAAAAGGAAAUGAACAAACACACAUCGAUGCAGUUAUUAAAGUUUUACAAAGAAUCAAAGAAAAAGGUUUAGUUUUAUCAAAAAAGAAAUAAAAACUUUUUCAAACUACAGUUGAAUAUCUUGGUUUAAAAAUUGGAGAAAAUGGCCAAUUAUCUUUAACAGACAACAUACGAGAAAAAUUAAAUAUGUUUCCUAAUAAACUUGAAAAUAGAAAACAAAUACAACGAUUUCUUGGUUGUUUAAAUUAUAUUGCAGAACAAGGAUUUUUAAAAAACUUAGCAAAAGAAAGAAGAGCUUUACAAAAGAAAAUAUCAGAAAAAAUACCUUGGUCUUGGACAAAUACAGAUACUAUUUUAGUACAAAAUAUAAAAGAAAAAAUUCAAGUUCUUCCUACCUUAUAUAAUGCAAAGAUCGACGAUUUUCUAAUUGUGGAAACAUAUGUGUCACAAGACACUUGGGCAGGAUGCCUAAAAGCAAUCAUACGUGGAAAAGUAUUAUUAGGAUUAGAUAGUGAGGGAAACCUCACAUCUAACCCAUCAAAAGUACACAAUGAUGAAGCAUACAUUGGUAUGAAAAUACCAUCCGAAGUAAACAAUGAUAAAGUAUACGGUGACAUGAAAAUGUCACCAAAAGCAUACACUGAUACAGAUGUAUCACCUGAAGUAUUAAAAACUGAUAAAUAUGAGCAAAAAUUAUGCAAAUAUAUAUCGGGAACAUUUUCCCAAACGGAGCAAAAUUACAGCACACAUGAACGAGAAACACUAGCAUGUCUCAGAACAUUGAAAAAAUGGAAAGUCGAUCUACUCCAAACCAGAUUCGAGCUACGCACAGAUUCCAAAUAUCUACUUGGCUUUUGGCGAUAUAAAUUACAAGAAGAUUAUUGUCGUGGACGUUUAAUCCGUUGGCAAUUACAAUUACAUCAAUUUCACCCAUACCUCAAGUAUAUCAAAAGUGCCAACAAUCAUAUAGCAGACACACUAACAAGAGAAUGGAAGCCAUCCUAAAGCAACCCAGAUAAGAAGCAACACUAUUCAUGGACGACUAACACAAGAAUCAAAAAACAUCUGCUUUUCCGGAGGCGGGAGGAAUUACGUAAGCAAUGACGUUAAAAAACCAUUAUUGAAGACAUCUGUCCUUUCAAGGUGGAAGGGGUUAUUAUAUUUUUCAUUAUGUAAAGUGUCGGUAGAAGGAUUGUUAUGUAAUUAAAUAAGAAGUGUCGGUAGAAUAAUUAUUAAGUGUCGGUUGAUGUAACAUAAAGUGUGUAACCCUCAAUAGUCUAGGGGGCUAUAAUGUAAAUAUGUGUGUCGUUUUGCAAUCAAAAGAUUGCAACCCAAUUAUGUAACGGCUCCUUCGAGCCUAUAAAUAGGGCCUUCGCCCAUAAGAAAUAAACAAGUGAAGUUUGAGUGUUUAAGACUUGAGUUGAUCUCAAAGUUCUUCUCUGUUGAAAUAGUUUAUCUAUUUCUGAAUAGCAGAGUUCUAUCCAAACUAUCCACAUAAACAUUAAAUUACUCAACACAAUCCAUCAUCAAGACAAUCCAACGCAUCACUCAGGUAUAAUCUUGUUCCUAAAAUUUAUUUAUCUGUCAUGUUGUCAAAUUUGGUAUCAGAGCAAUUAAUCUGUCAUCAUGUUAUUUUAAAUUUGUUGGAUUAUUAUAUUUUUCAUUAUGUAAAGUGUCGGUAGAAGGAUUGUUAUGUAAUUAAAUAAGAAGUGUCGGUAGAAUAACUAUUAAGUGUCAGUUGAUGUAACAUAAAGUGUGUAACCCUCAAUAGUCUAGGGGGUUAUAAUGUAAAUAUAUGUGUCGUUUUGCAAUCAAACGAUUGCAACCCAAUUAUGUAACCGGCUCCUUCGAGCCUAUAUUGCAAUCGUUUGAUUGCAAAACGACACACAUAUUUACAUUAUAGCCCCCUAGACUAUUGAGGGUUACACACUUUAUAUUACACCAACCGACACUUAAUAAUUAUUUUACCGGUUACAUAAUUGGGUUGCAAUCGUUUGAUUGCAAAACAACACACAUAUUUACAUUAUAGCCCCCUAAACUAUUGAGGAUUACACACUUUAUGUUACAUCAACCGACACUUAAUAAUUAUUCUACCGACACUUCUUAUUUAAUUACAUAACAAUCCUUCUACCGACACUUUACAUAAUGAAAAAUAUAAUAAUCCAUCAAAUUUAAAAUAACAUGAUGACAGAUUAAUUGCUCUGAUACCAAAUUUGACAACAUGACGGAUAAAUAAAUUUUAGGAACAAGAUUAUACCCAUGGUUCUAAAAAGCGCGCCAUGGCGCGCCUCAAGGCGUGCUAUGGCGCAAGGCGUGGUGUAGCCGUUACGAAAACGUCCAAGGCGGGUUUGUUAAGCUUGGCGCCCAAAAACGUGUCAAGGCGUGUCUUAUCGUGUUAUGGCGCGAACUUUUUAAAGGCGCGGAUUUUUUUUUUUUUUUUUUCGGGCCUAAAAUAAUUGAGUUUUUGUUAACUUUUUUAUAUUAAAUCUUAAUAUAACACUUCUAAAAACUUCAUAUAUUUGAUACAAUUCAAUAAUUAUAUGAUUUAUCUCUUUUAAUGUAUAUAAAAUAGUCACACCUUGAAAAACGUCAUGGCUCGCCAAGACUUGGCAUAACUUAACUUAGACCUCGACACCAAGUCACGCCUUGCGUUUUUUAGAACCUUGAUUAUACCUGAGUGAUGCGUUGGAUUGUCUUGAUGAUGGAUUGUGUUGAAUAAUUUAAUGUUUAUGUGGAUAGUUUGGAUAGAACUCUGCUAUUCAGAAAUAGACAAACUAUUUCAACGGAGAAGAACUUUGAGAUCAACUCAAGUCUUAAACACUCAAACUUCACUUGUUUAUUUCUUAUGAGCGAAGGCCCUAUUUAUAGGCUCGAAGGAGCCGGUUACAUAAUUGGGUUGCAAUCGUUUGAUUGCAAAACGACACACAUAUUUACAUUAUAGUCUAGGUGGUCUGGUGGAAUCAGUUAAUCAUCAGGCAUCAAGUUACUGUUGUCUUUAGAGGUGGAGAUCAGGGUUUCUGUUUGAUGUAGUUAGUGUCUUCAAUAGCUUCCGUUGGUUUCCUUUGUUCUUAAUUGGAAUUUGUGCAAUUUCUAAAUAUAUCAUGUGUGUUUGAUAGCAAUUAACAAUCACAAACUAUCUAAAGUUGCAUACUUUAACAUACUUUAAUGGUUUUCUUUGGCAUUUCAACAAGUAUGAUGGUUGGUUUGGAUUUUGGAAUAAAGCUGCGAAUAUGAUAUGAUAGGUUAGACACAUCAUUCACUCCUUAAUGAUAACGAUAGAGGUGGGAAGUUUAUAAGCGUUAUUUUUCGUCUUCAGGCUUGAACAUUAGUUACUGAAAUUAUGAUAUCAUAUUCAUAUCAACAACAUGGAAGUAUGGCUAAUUGCUUAAUCCUUAAUGCCUGGUAGAUGAUUAAAUUACAUAACUUUAUUGUUGGUAUAAGAUAAAUGUUUUGAUGUUUGGAAGGGUAAUGUUGCAGUGUCUCAUUUCCUUAUAUACAAAAUGAUGUCAUAUAUGUACUUUGCUUUUGGUUACAACCUGCAAUUUGUCAUUUUUUAUACAGGCAGCAACCUAGAUAAAACCAACAUCCUGAUUACUUUUUUUUUAAUCAUCACAUACUUGUUUAAAUGCAAGAAAUAGCAAUGUCCUUUCAUUUAUUUUUCUAUUAUAGCAUUUCACUUUCAUGUCUUUUAUCAAAACAUUGCAAUUUUACAUAGAUACUAAAUUGUAGGCUUUUUAGUUCAGUACAAUAGUUCAUGGUUUAUACAAAUUAUCGAAUAUUGAAUAUAAAAUCGCCUUGGAACUUUUUCCCACACUUGAAAGAAGGUUUAUAAUAUUGUAGAAUUCACAAACCCUACAUCGAUUUUUUUGUCACAUCUCUAAAAGAUUGAUUAUGAUUUUAAGUUUUUAUUAAAGAAUAUAUAUAAGGGUAUAUUUGGAAAUCAUGUGAAAAAAGCUCCAUGAGCUUAUCAAUAAACAAUCUCAAAUUGUAUUUUAAAAAUCUAGAUUAUAAGCCAUUUAUUGGUCUCAUCAAAUGCUAAGUAAACUUAAAAAAUAAGAUAAGGAUGGUGAAGUUAGUCGAAUGAUCUACAAUCUUUCAUGGAUUUUAGAACUUAAAUUAGCCAACCAAAAUAACAAUUUGUUUUAUGCUUACGUCUGCAUGUUGGAAUGUAUGUUGAUUUUUCUUGAACUAGAAACAAAAGGUUAAAUUGUUAACUUAUUAUAGUGCAAUGAAGGUUAAUUUGUUACACAUGAAAAUGAAAUAGUUUACACAACUUAAUGACUUAUUAACACUAAACUUACCAACAAAUUUAUGCAAAUUUGAAACCUAUGAGCUGCAUUAUCAUUAGACUAAUAAGUUCGUUCGAUGACUUCAAACUAGUGUUGUUUGAAGUGGCAAUUAACAUCGUAAAGCUUUCUGGUUUAGGUCUGGGAGAUGUUCUACUAAGUGUUAGUACAUAGUAUUUUUUUUAAGGGAGAUGUAUUAAAGAAACUUUUACACACUUUGGAAAAUACAUGGUCAAAAGGAUGCCAUAUGGGUCCCACUCAUUCCUUCAAAACGUUGGAACAUACUAGUAUAAUAAAGGGUUCCUUUAGUUAGCAGAUAACUUAAAACUUUAUGAUCCACCUUCCAAGAAAUAAUAUUUAAUGACUAAAUCAGGCCAAAAAUGAUAAUAUUUAUUUAUAAAUUUAAACAUGUACAUCCAAAUGUAAGUCACCCUGUCAUCCUAAUUCGUAAUUCAUAAUACUUUUACCCAGAGUCCCAAUAAACACCUUU
rnacentral:lncRNA from 1 species